GCGUUAGUGGCGAACGGGUGAGUAAUGCAUGGGUAACGUACCUUACGCACAGGGAUAGCAGCGCCCUUCGGGGCUUUAGCGAAAGUGCUGGUAACACCUGAUAACAUUCCGAAAUCGCAUGGUUUUGGGAUCAAAGAUGGGGAUCUUCGGACCUAUCGGCGUGAGAUCGGCCUAUGUCCUAUCAGCUUGUUGGUGGGGUAACGGCCUACCAAGGCGACGACGGGUAGCCGGCGUGAGAGCGCGACCGGCCACAUCGGGACUGAGACACUGCCCGGACACCUACGGGUGGCUGCAGCAACGAAUAUUCCGCAAUGGGCGAAAGCCUAACGGAGCGACGCCGCGUGAAGGAGGAAGUCUCUCGGGAUGUAAACUUCAAUAGUUUGUCAGGAAGCAAACCGACCUAAUACGUCGGGGCGUUGACCAGCAAAUGAAAGGGGCGGCUAACUCCGUGCCAGCAGCCGCGGUAAGACGGAGGCCCCUAGCGUUGUUCGGAAUUACUGGGCUUAAAGAGCGUGUAGGCGGAACGGUAAGUACCUUAGUGAAAGCCCCGGGCUCAACUCGGGAAUUGCUUGGUAUACUAUCGUUCUUGAGGCAGGUAGGGGUUACUGGAACCUUAGGUGUAGCGGUGAAAUGCGUAGAUAUCUAAGGGAAUGCCUGUGGCGAAAGCGGGUGACUGGGCCUGUCCUGACGCUGAGACGCGAAAGCGUAGGGAGCAAACGGGAUUAGAUACCCCGGUAGUCUACGCCGUAACGAUGCGCACUAGGUUCGAGGGCUUCUGACAGUCGUCGUGCCGAAACAAAAGCGAUAAGUGCGCCGCCUGGGGAGUACGGCCGCAAGGCUAAAACUCAAAGGAAUUGACGGGGGCUCACACAAGCGGUGGAGCAUGUGGAUCAAUUCGAAGCAACGCGCAGAACCUUACCUGGGUUUGACAUGUACGGAUGCUCUUUGCGAAAGCGGAGUAGGCUGCCUUCGGGUGAAACGUACACAGGUGCUGCAUGGCUGUCGUCAGCUCGUGCUGUGAAGUGUCGGGUUAAGUCCCUUAACGAGCGAAACCCUUGUCGCUAGUUGCCAGCGGUUCGGCCGGGAACUCUAGCGAGACUGCCGGCGUUAAGCCGGAGGAAGGUGGGGAUGACGUCAAGUCAUCAUGGCCUUUAUGCCCAGGGUGUCACACGUGCUACAAUGGGGCGUACAGAGCGAAGCAAGACCGUGAGGUGG
rnacentral:rRNA from 1 species